CCCAUUUGACUGACUUGCAGCAGCUGAUGUCUGCUGCCAAGGCUUCCACUCCAGAUGCAAGAAAAAGUGUUUUUUGCCAUUCCUAUCCAUCAGCCUGUGGCAGCCAAGAUUGAAUGGAAGAGUAUAGGA
rnacentral:snoRNA from 1 species